rnacentral:rRNA from 1 species
CCCCCUGGCAAGGACCUAACUAUCUGAAUGAGGAAAUUCAGCAUUAUUGUGUCAAAUGAUGGCAUAAUGGUGUGCACUUUUCUUCUAGUAAGACGUUGCGAUCCAUUAAAAAAGUUAUUAAUCUGUAUAUAGGCCCGGAUAGGAGUUUAUACAUUAAGCGAGUAACAUGACUUUGUUGUUAUGUGAAUGCGUGUAAACUAUUUGGUGUUCUUACAGAUGUCUGAUGGUAUUUUGAUUGAAUGUCGCAUACAAUUUUUCAUAAAUUGAUAUCUCUCGUGGAUAUGAUGCCUACAUUACCAGCAACGUUUUAGAUUUAAGAUACCCUCCGGACCCGUCUUGAAACACGGACCAAGAAGUCUAACUUGUAUGCAAGUCAAUGGGAUUUUUAAAACCUAUUGGCCAAAUGAGAUUAACUUGUUAAUGGGAUUACAAAUGGUGUAUUAAUUACACUAUUUUUCCAUCCCCGGGUAUCUUAAUGUAAGUACUGUAAUUUCGGCUGCCUGUACUACAAAAAUAUACCGUGGGCAUACUAGCUGUGACCCCAAAGAUGGUGAACUAUGCCUGAUCAGGUUGAAAUCCGGGAAACCCUGAUGGAAGACCGUAACAAUUCUGACGUGCAAAUCGAUUGGCAGAAUUGGGUAUAGGGGCCAAAGACCAAUCGAAACCAUUCAGUAACUGGUUCCUUCCAAA